AGUGAACGCUGGCGGUAGGCCUAACACAUGCAAGUCGAACGGCAGCACAGUAAGAGCUUGCUCUUACGGGUGGCGAGUGGCGGACGGGUGAGGAAUACAUCGGAAUCUACUUUUUCGUGGGGGAUAACGUAGGGAAACUUACGCUAAUACCGCAUACGACCUACGGGUGAAAGCAGGGGAUCUUCGGACCUUGCGCGAUUGAAUGAGCCGAUGUCGGAUUGGCUAGUUGGCGGGGUAAAGGCCCACCAAGGCGACGAUCCGUAGCUGGUCUGAGAGGAUGAUCAGCCACACUGGAACUGAGACACGGUCCAGACUCCUACGGGAGGCAGCAGUGGGGAAUAUUGGACAAUGGGCGCAAGCCUGAUCCAGCCAUACCGCGUGGGUGAAGAAGGCCUUCGGGUUGUAAAGCCCUUUUGUUGGGAAAGAAAAGCAGCAGGUUAAUACCCCGCUGUUCUGACGGUACCCAAAGAAUAGGCACCGGCUAACUUCGUG
rnacentral:rRNA from 1 species